rnacentral:rRNA from 1 species
UACGUAGGGGGCAAGCGUUGUCCGGAUUUAUUGGGCGUAAAGAGCGUGUAGGCGGUUAGGUAGGUCCGUUGUGAAAACUCGAGGCUCAACCUCGAGACGCCGAUGGAAACCAUCUAACUAGAGUCCGGAAGAGGAGAGUGGAAUUCCUGGUGUAGCGGUGGAAUGCGCAGAUAUCAGGAGGAACACCGAUAGCGAAGGCAGCUCGCUGGGACGGUACUGACGCUGAGGUGCGAAAGCGUGGGGAGCGAACAGG